rnacentral:lncRNA from 1 species
CCCAAAAAUCCCCCGAAAAAUCCCUAAAAAUUCCCUAAAAAUCCCAAGGAUUUUACUCAAAAUUCACUGAACUGACCCCAGAAAUUCCUUUAUAAAUUCGCUGAAUUGGGCACAGUGAGGGACAGCUGGGAGACACCAAAAACCCCCCAAAAUCCCCCCAAAAAUCCCCAAAAAAAUCCCUAAAAUUCCCAAGUAUUUUACCUCAAGACCCCAAAGAUUUUACCCCAAAAUUCACUGAACUAACCCCAAAAAUUCACUGAAUAAUUCACUUAAUUGGGCACAGUGAGGGACAGGUGGGAGACACCAAAAACCCAAAAAAUCCCCCAAAAAUCCCUAAAAAAUCCCCCCAAAAAGUCCCUACAAAUUCCCUAAAAAUCCCAAGGAUUUUACUCAAAAUUCACUGAACUGACCCCAAAAAUUCCUUUAAAAAUUUGCUGAAUUGGGAACAGUGAGGCACACCAAAAACCCAAAAAAUCUCCCAAAAAUCCCCAAAAAAUCCCUAAAAAUUCCCUAAAAAUCCCGAAGAUUUUUCCCCAAAAUUCACUGAACUUACCCCAAAAAUUCACUUAAAAAUUCGCUGAAUGAAUUGGUCACAGUGAGGGACAGGUGAGAGAUGGUGAGACACAGGUGGGACAGGUGAGGGACAUGUGAGGAGGAGGAGGGUUCUGCACCCACAGGUGAGACACAGGUUGGACACAGGUUGGACCGGUGACACAGGUGAGGGGACAGGUGGGAUAGGUGAGACACCUGGGAAAGGUGAGGAGACAGGUGAGGAGGAGGAGGGUCCUGCACACACAGGUGAGACACAGGGACAGGUGAGACACAGGUUGGACACAGGUGGGACAGGUGAGACACCUGGGAAAAGUGAGGAGACGGGUGAGACACAGGUGAGGGACAGGUGAGGGCCCUGCACACGCACAGGUGAGACACAGGGACAGGUGGGACACAGGUGGGACAGGUGAGGCAGAUGACACACAGGUGAGGACACAGGUGGGACUCAGGGGACAGGUGAGGGGACAGGUGAGCCACAGACAGGUGAGGGGACAGGUGAGACACAGGUGGGACAGGUGACACACAGGUGAGGGACAGACAGGUGGGACACGAGGACAGGUGAGGGACAGGUGACACACAGGUGGGACAGGUAAAGGGGAGGGGCUCAGGUGAGGUCGGG